rnacentral:rRNA from 1 species
UAAGCCUACGGGACGCAGCAGUGGGGAAUAUUGCACAAUGGGGGAAACCCUGAUGCAGCGACGCCGCGUGAGUGAAGAAGCGUUUCGGCGCGUAAAGCUCUGUCAGCGGGGAAGAAACACGGUUCGCGAGAGCCGCGGACGGUACCCGACCAAGAAGCCCCGGCUAACUACGUGCCAGCAGCCGCGGUAAUACGUAGGGGGCAAGUGUUAUCCGGAUUUACUGGGUGUAAAGGGAGCGUAGGUGGCAUGGUAAGCCAGAAGUGAAAACCCAGGGCGCAACUCUGUGGAUUGCUUUUGGAACUAUC